GCCGGGGCUUCUUCUGAUGUUACCGUCAUUAUCUUCGCAUCUGAAAGAGCUUUACAACCCUAAGGCCUUCUUCACUCACGCGGCAUGGCUGGAUCAGGCUUGCGCCCAUUGUCCAAUAUUCCUC
rnacentral:rRNA from 1 species